GUAGAAGGAGAGAAGCAACACUUGCA
rnacentral:piRNA from 1 species